rnacentral:rRNA from 1 species
AGUGAACGCUGGCGGCGUGCCUAAUACAUGCAAGUCGAACGCGAAAGUCCUUCGGGAUGAGUAAAGUGGCGCACGGGUGAGUAAUACAUGGGAACAUGCCCUUGGAUGGGGAAUAACGUUUGGAAACGAACGCUAAUACCGCAUAAUCUCGCGAGAGUAAAGGUGGCGCCGCAAGGGCUACCGUCCAAGGAUUGGCCCAUGUCCCAUUAGCUAGUUGGCGGGGUAAUGGCCCACCAAGGCAACGAUGGGUAACUGGUCUGAGAGGAUGAUCAGUCACACUGGAACUGAGACACGGUCCAGACUCCUACGGGAGGCAGCAGUAGGGAAUAUUGCACAAUGGGGGAAACCCUGAUGCAGCAACGCCGCGUGAGUGAAGAAGGCCCUUGGGUUGUAAAGCUCUUUAGCGUGGGAAGAAGGUGGAUAUGGUGAAUAAUCAUGUUUGCUGACGGUACCACGAGAAUAAGCACCGGCUAAUUUCGUGCCAGCCGCCGCGGUAA